GCCAGCGGUGAUAGCACGUUGAAUACACCAGUUCGCUUCGAAGUUAAAGGAUUCCUUUGAAAAGGAUCUUUGAAAUCAAGCAACGUUGAGCGUGGUUGGUAUCCCGAUAGUUGAACAUCUGGACAAUCGCGUACUGCUCACU
rnacentral:rRNA from 1 species